AUGUCUAAAAGCAGAAUUGGAUGCGUUGGCAGAAGCAAAAUCCAUCUGCUGAAGGAAACUACUCUAUUGCUCUCUCCAGAAGAAAACCUUGUCUUUGAUAUUGAAGUGUUAUGAAGGAAUGAAAAAAUCUGUAAAAUGACAUUGGCUCUGGUGAGUUUGGAAUGCAAUAUAUUGGGUCCUUAGAGAAUGGAAAAAUGCAAGUUUAUGAAGGGAAAAAAUUGAUUGAAUUAUUACAAGAUGACUGAUUAUCCAUCGUAUUCAUUUCUCCAACUCUUAGGUUUUCUUUCAGUCCUUUUGGCUAAUUCCUGACAUAAUUUUGUGA
rnacentral:lncRNA from 1 species